AUUGAACGCUGGCGGCAUGCUUUACACAUGCAAGUCGAACGGCAGCGGGGGGGUGCUUGCUUCUCUGCCGGCGAGUGGCGAACGGGUGAGUAAUACAUCGGAACGAGUCGAGAAGAGGGGGAUAACCACCCGAAAGGGUGGCUAAUACCGCAUAAAUUCUGCGGUAAAAAGCUGGGGACCUAGGAAUAGGCCUAGCGCUUUUUGAGCGGCAGAUGUCGGAUUAGCUAGUUGGUGAGGUAAAGGCUCACCAAGGAGAAGAUCGGUAGCGAGUAUGAGAGGAUGAUCCGCCACACUGGCACUGAGACACGGCCCAGACUCCUACGGGAGGCAGCAGUGGGGAAUUUUGGACAAUGGGGGAAAGCCUGAUCCAGCCAUGCCGCGUGUAUGAAGAAGGACUUAGGGUUGUAAAGUACUGUUGUUAGGGAAGAAAAGUCAGCUGUGAAUAAUGGCUGAUACUGACGGUACCUAAAGAAUAAGCACCGGCUAACUACGUG
rnacentral:rRNA from 1 species